GAUUACCCUGUGUUUAUUUAGUUUCUCUGUUUUCCCCUCUCCUGCUGACAGUUCAUUGGGUCUUUUCUCCUGUAUUCACCAGUGUUCCUCAUGGAUUUUGUGGGACUCCCUGUUGGACUUUGGUUAAAGUGUGCAGAGAUUACAUCAUUGAGAGCAGACAGGGAGUACAAACGGGGAUACUGGUCCAAAUAUGGCAUUAGCUGGUGAAAUCCUUUGUCUUCUACCUCAUGAGAUAGCAGCAGUCAAUACACAACAGGAAAUGAGGAGGACAGAGAAUGAAGGGAACACACUCAACAAAAGACCCCAGUGGGACUUGAAACUGGGGAAUGUUGUAAUUAGCGGGUUUUCUUUCACAUACAACAAAGUAUUAAAGGUGAUCUGCAAUGUAACACCUCACUGGAACUGUGUCAUUUAAAAGAGCUCUGUCUUUUCCUCCAACUCAAAACUGGAAAAACUCAGAACAGUUGCACAAAGAUGCUGUCACCUCAACAGAACCCUACAAAUCUACACUGACCUGUGUGUAUAACCAAUGGACUCAUGAAAUGUAUGAGAUGCUCUUUAUAGUAAAAACCAACAGACAAUUACUCCAUAUCACUAUAAACCCAUUGAGCGCUUAAGUGUCUGUCAAUGGUCUGAUUUUACUUUAUGGCCUUCAGCUUACUACGACCAAUGUGAUUCACUGCAACCGCUCUUAUCAGUAGUUUAAUUAUUUGAAAUUGUAAUAGUUAUAAACCAAAUGUCAAACAGAAGCUCCAGAUUGUAAAUGGUAAAUGGAAGUGUGUUUAUAUAUCACUGUACGUAUAGUCACAUAUGACACAUUCACCCAUUCACACUAUGUUCACACACUGAUGGCAGACGCUAUACUGAGUGACCAUCAGUGUUAACUCCAGCAGUCAACAAUACAUUUAAAAUUUUUAUGUUCAUAUUAACAAUGUAAAGCACUUCUUGCCAGUAUCGUGGUUUCAUCCUCUGGUCUGUAAUGAUUUGCACACUCCAGCAUAGAGCUCUACCAUCUCUUGUGAUGUGGUUGUUUGCUGACAUCAGUGUGAUUAGCAGCACCUGUAAGCUUAGCUCAUAAGUAGUAGCUUGAACUCAAUGUACUUUGGUGAUAUUUUAAUCCAGUUUGAUAUAAAGUGUAAUUACUUUUGAUAA